GGAACGUUAAGAACAGGUAGAUAUUGGAACGUUAAGAACAGGCAGAUAUUGGAACGUUAAGAACAGGCAAAUAUUGGAACGUUAAGAACAAGCAGAUAUAGGAACGUUAAGAUCAGGUAGAUAUAGGAACGUUAAGAACAGGUAGAUAUUGGAACGUU